GGAGGAAAAGAAAAUAACAAUGAUUUCCCUAGUAACGGCGAGUGAAGAGGAAAGAGCUCAAAGUUGGAAACUGUUUGGCUUAGCUAAACCGUAUUGUAAACUGUAGAAACAUUUUCCUGGCACACCAGAUUAAUAAGUCCUUUGGAACAAUGCAUCAUGGAGGGUGAGAAUCCCGUCUUUGAUCUGAGUAGUUGUCUUUUGUGAUAUGUUUUCAAAGAGUCAGGUCGUUUGGGAACGCAGCCUAAAUUGGGUGGUAAAUCUCACCUAAAGCUAAAUAUUUGCGAGAGACCGAUAGCGAACAAGUACCGUGAGGGAAAGAUGAAAAGAACUUUGAAAAGAGAGUUAAACAGUAUGUGAAAUUGUUAAAAGGGAACCGUUUGGAGCCAGACUGGUUUGACUGUAAUCAACCUAGAAUUCGUUUUGGGUGCACUUGCAGUCUAUACCUGCCAACAACAGUUUGAUUUGGAGGACAAAAUUAAUAGGAAUGUAGCCUCUCGAGGUGUUAUAGACUAUUAUCAUACUCUGGAUUGGACUGAGGAACGCAGCGAAUGCCUUUAGGCAAGAUUGCUGGGUGCUUUCGCUAAUAAAUGUUAGAAUUUCUGCUUCGGGUGGUGCUAAUGUUUAAAGGAGGAACACAUCUAGUAUAUUUUUUAUUCGCUUAGGUUGUUGGCUUAAUGACUCUAAUGAC
rnacentral:rRNA from 1 species